AUUGAACGCUGGCGGCAGGCCUAACACAUGCAAGUCGAACGAGUGGCGGACGGGUGAGUAAUGUCUGGGAAACUGCCCGAUGGAGGGGGAUAACUACUGGAAACGGUAGCUAAUACCGCAUACCAUCGGAUGUGCCCAGAUGGGAUUAGCUAGUAGGUGGGGUAACGGCUCACCUGGGCGACGCUCCCUAGCUGGUCUGAGAGGAUGACCAGCCACCCUGGAUCUGAGCCGCGGUCCGGACUCCAACGGGAGGCGGCGGUGGGGAAUAUUGCACAAGGGGCGCAGGCCUGAUGCAGCCAUGCCGCGUAUAUGAAGAAGGCCUUGGGGUUUUAAAGUACUUUCAGCGAGGAGGCGGUACUCGCAGAAGAAGCACCGGCUAACUCCGUGCCAGCAGCCGCGGUAAUUC
rnacentral:rRNA from 1 species